UGACUACCACUGUCUCCCCAG
rnacentral:miRNA from 1 species